AACGCGAAGAACCUUACCUAGUCUUGACAUCCCGAUGACCGUACCGUAAUGGGUACUUCUCUUCGGAGCAUCGGAGACAGGUGGUGCAUGGUUGUCGUCAGCUCGUGUCGUGAGAUGUUGGGUUAAGUCCCGCAACGAGCGCAACCCUUAUCUUUAGUAGCCAGCAUUUCGGAUGGGCACUCUAGAGAGACUGCCAGGGAUAACCUGGAGGAAGGUGGGGAUGACGUCAAAUCAUCAUGCCCCUUAUGACUAGGGCUACACACGUGCUACAAUGGCGUAAACAAAGGGAAGCAACCCUGUGAAGGUAAGCAAAUCCCAAAAAUAACGUCUCAGUUCGGAUUGUAGUCUGCAACUCGACUACAUGAAGCUGGAAUCGCUAGUAAUCGCGAAUCAGAAUGUCGCGGUGAAUACGUUCCCGGGUCUUGUACACACCG
rnacentral:rRNA from 1 species